rnacentral:rRNA from 1 species
AUUGAACGCUGGCGGCAGGCCUAACACAUGCAAGUCGAGCGGAGCGGCGGACGGGUGAGUAAUGCCUAGGAAUCUGUCUGGUAGUGGGGGAUAACGUCCGGAAACGGGCGCUAAUACCGCAUACUAUCAGAUGAGCCUAGGUCGGAUUAGCUAGUUGGGGGGGUAAAGGCAUACCAAGGCGACGAUCCGUAACGGGUCUGAGGGGAUGAUCAGUCACACUGGAACUGAGACACGGUCCAGCCUCCGACGGGAGGCUGCAGUGGGGAAUAGUGGACAAUGGGCGAAAGCCUGAUCCAGCCAUGCCGCGUGUGUGAAGGAGGUCUGCGGAUUGUAAAGCACUUUAAGUUGGUAGGCGUUACCAACAGAAUAAGCACCGGCUAACUUCGUGCCAGCAGCCGCGGUAAUUC